UACGGGGGGGGCAAGCGUUGUUCGGAAUUACUGGGCGUAAAGGCUCGUAGGCGGCCAACUAAGUCAGACGUGAAAUCCCCAGGCUUAACCUGGGAACUGCGUCUGAUACUGGAUGGCUUGAAUUCGGGAGAGGGAUGCAGAAUUCCAGGUGUAGCGGUGAAAUGCGUAGAUAUCUGGAGGAAUACCGGUGGCGAAGGCGGCAUCCUGGACCGAGAUUGACGCUGAUGAGCGAAAGCUAGGGGAGCA
rnacentral:rRNA from 1 species